rnacentral:rRNA from 1 species
AUUGAACGCUGGCGGCAUGCCUUAUACAUGCAAGUCGAACGGUAACAGGUCUUCGGACGCUGCCGAGUGACGAACGGGUGUGUAAUUCUUCGGAAGGUGCCUAGUCGUGGGGGAUAACUGCUCGAAAGAGCAGCUAAUACCGCAUACGACCUGAGGGUGACAGCGGGGGACCGUAAGGCCUCGCGCGAUUGCACCGGCCGAUGUCAGUUUAGCUAGUUGGUGGGGUAAAGGCCUUCCAAGGCAACGAUCUGUAGUUGGUCUGAGAGGAGGACCAUCCACACUGGGACUGAGACACGGCCCAGACUCCUACGGGGGGCAGCAGUGGGGAAUGUUGGACAAUGGGCGCAAGCCUGAUCCAGCAAUGCCGCGUGCAGGAAGAAGGCCUUCGGGUUGUAAACUGCUUUUGUCAGGGAAGAAAUCGUCUGGGCUGAUACCACGGGAGGAUGACGGUACCUGAAGAAUAAGCACCGGCUAACUACGUG